rnacentral:misc_RNA from 1 species
GAUGAAGAACGCAGUGAAAUGCGAUACUUGGUGUGAAUUGCAGAAUCCCGUGAACCAUCGAGUCUUUGAACGCAAGUUGCGCCCGAAGCCACUAGGCCGAGGGCACGCCUGCCUGGGCGUCACACGCCGUUGCCCCCCCAUCUACUCCUUCGGGAUUGCGGGGGGGCGGAUGAUGGCCUCCCGUGCGCCUAGCCGCGCGGUUGGCAUAAAUACCAAGUCCUCGGCGACGCACGCCACGACAAUCGGUGGUUGCGAAACCUCGGUUGCCCGUCGUGUGCGUUCGUCGCGCAUCGAGGGCUCGAAAAAAUGCUCGGCUCCGGCUGGGCUUUCAACGCGACCCCAGGUCAGGCGGGGUCACCCGCUGAAUUUAAGCAUAUCAAUAAGCGGAGGA